GCCAUCCUUCAGCGGUAGAACAUCUGCCUUGCAAGUAUAAGGUCUGGAGUUCAAAUCCCGGCAUCUCCA